AUUGAACGCUGGCGGCAGGCCUAACACAUGCAAGUCGAGCGGAGCGGCGGACGGGUGAGUAAUGCCUAGGAAUCUGCCUGGUAGUGGGGGAUAACGUCCGGAAACGGGCGCUAAUACCGCAUACUAUCACAUGAGCCUAGGUCGGAUUAGCUAGUGGGUGGGGUAAAGGCAUACCAAGGCGACGAUCCGUAACUGGUCUGAGAGGAUGAUCAGUCACACGGGAACUGUGACACGGUCAAUACUCCGACGGGAGUCAUCAUGGGGGAAGUUUGGACAAGGGGGGAAACCCUGAUCCAGCCAUCCCGCGUGUGCGAUGAAGGCCUUCGGUUUGUAAAGCACUUUUGGCAGGAAGGCGGUACCUGCAGAAUAAGCACCGGCUAACUACGUGCCAGCCGCCGCGGUAAUUC
rnacentral:rRNA from 1 species